rnacentral:rRNA from 1 species
GAGUUUGAUCAUGGCUCAGGAUGAACGCUAGCGGGAGGCCUAACACAUGCAAGCCGAGCGGGAUUUGUUGGUUAGCUUGCUAACUAAUAAUGAGAGCGGCGUACGGGUGCGUAACACGUGUGCAACCUGCCUUUAUCUGGGGGAUAGCCUUUCGAAAGGAAGAUUAAUACCCCAUAAUAUAUUAAUUGGCAUCAAUUGAUAUUGAAAGCUCCGGCGGAUAGAGAUGGGCACGCGUAAGAUUAGCUAGUUGGUGAGGUAACGGCUCACCAAGGCUGCGAUCUUUAGGGGGCCUGAGAGGGUGAUCCCCCACACUGGUACUGAGACACGGACCAGACUCCUACGGGAGGCAGCAGUGAGGAAUAUUGGACAAUGGGUGAGAGCCUGAUCCAGCCAUCCCGCGUGAAGGACUAAGGACCUAUGGUUUGUAAACUUCUUUUAUACAGGGAUAAACCUACUCUCGUGAGGGUAAGCUGAAAGGUACUGUAUGAAUAAAGCCCCGGCA